AGGGGGCGUUGCUGCUAGAAGGAUUUAAGCGAACUGCAGAGCGCCGAUGGAGUUCUUUUUCUCCGGGUUCCCGUUCGGUUGGCGGAGGUAAAGACUGCUCUGAGCUGGGUGUGAUUAGACUUCUCCUGCAACGGGACAGCACGGCUCCAAUGUACUGGGCGAGAAUGACAUCCUGUUCACGUACAUACCCCAGGCAGAGGAGGACGACUGAGUGUGAACUCGACACCUUUUGCCGGUUCGGAUUUACUGCUCAUCGAAGCAACGUAAAACCUACAGGCAAGGCGCAUUCAGGCUCUUGUGCUGUCUUAGGCAUUCAGUGCACUACUUCCCCAUAUCGCCUUCAGGCUAAUACAGAGCCCCUUCAAGGAAAAUGCGCCUUCUUCCUGGCCGCACUUAACAGGCUUCGCUCCUGUGACACUGACGAUGGAACUGGACCAGUGCGAAACUGAAGGCUUGCCGCCUUCAAGACACCGACAAAGUGGUGAAUGACCUUCAGCCUGCCCAUAGGGACCGGUAUAUUCCUUCCAGUCGCUAUGUCGUGGUACAGCACCCGAAAAAUCAAACGAUUGCAGACCGAAGUUCUAGCGGAAGGUAGACCCGGCCAGGUCACUCCCCCUCUUUCAGGGAUUAACACUGCAGGAUAGAGGAACAGAAGCGUGUCCAGUACCCUCCUUGUGGAUCCACCGCACAGCGCCUUUGUCGGGCGAAGGAGACACUACGGGGACAGAUGUGGCAGUAGCUGUCCUACAGCAGCAGCUGCGGCGCCGGAACCUCUUCAGAGGGUAUCAGGACUGCAUCCGAUCAUUGAUAUUAGUCACGAGCGUUAUAAAUAAAAUUACGAGAAGUAUCGGUACUCAAGAAUCGACAAGAACCCGGGCUUGAUAAGAGCGCACGAUUGUGGUGUUUGGAGGAAUCUGUUGAAACAUAGGUUUCCGCCUGUUUUCUUUCUCUUUCCUGUUUGGUUGGCCCAAAUAAAGACUACGCAGUGAUAGGUUUCGUUAGGAAGUCAAAUAAAGUUUGGUUUGUGUUGCA